AAAAAAAGAGCAAUUUCAUUCAACUUUAAUCAUACGUACUACUCAUUCUACAUUUGCGAGAGUCUUUCAGUCACAACCGUCGUUGUGUUUAGUCUAAUUUGGUACUGUUACUUUUAAUGAUGAUAUUAUUUAGGUGACACAAUAGAAAAAAAAAAUCUUCUUUUAACUGUCGGUCAGUUUGACAUAACUGGUCAACUUUGCUGUCAGUAAACAAACUCUUGGAGCUACAAAGAGUAGUAUCUUAGUAUUAUUUUGACCACUCUAAAACUAAUUACUAACAAAAAUAGGAAAUAUAGUUAUAGAUUUCAGUGGC
rnacentral:lncRNA from 1 species